UAAGAACAAAUUCUUAUUUUCAAUGACGGCCUAGGAACAUUGGGUUAACUGCCUGUUCAGGGGCAGAACGACAGAUUUGUACCUUGUCAGCUCGGGGAUAUGAACUUGCAACCCAACACUCUAGUCCAAAUAGUUAGAAGAGGUGUGUGUGAUUGAGAUAUGUUCAGGUAGAUAGAAGAGGUGUGGGUGAUUGAGAUAUGUUCAGAUAGAUAGAAGAGGUGUGGGUGAUUGAGAUAUGUUCAGAUAGAUAGAAGAGGUGUGGGUGAUUGAGAUAUGUUCAGAUAGAUAGAAGAGGUGUGGGUGAUUGAGAUAUGUUCAGAUAGAUAGAAGAGGUGUGGGUGAUUGAGAUAUGUUCAGAUAGAUAGAAGAGGUGUGGGUGAUUGAGAUAUGUUCAGAUAGAUAGAAGAGGUGUGGGUGAUUGAGAUAUGUUCAGAUAGAUAGAAGAGGUGUGGGUGAUUGAGAUAUGUUCAGAUAGAUAGAAGAGGUGUGGGUGAUUGAGAUAUGUUCAGAUAGAUAGAAGAGGUGUGGGUGAUUGAGAUAUGUUCAGAUAGAUAGAAGAGGUGUGGGUGAUUGAGAUAUGUUCAGAUAGAUAGAAGAGGUGUGGGUGAUUGAGAUAUGUUCAGAUAGAUAGAAGAGGUGUGGGUGAUUGAGAUAUGUUCAGAUAGAUAGAAGAGGUGUGGGUGAUUGAGAUAUGUUCAGAUAGAUAGAAGAGGUGUGGGUGAUUGAGAUAUGUUCAGAUAGAUAGAAGAGAUGUGGGUGAUUGGGAUAUGUUCAGAUAGAUAGAAGAGGUGUGGGUGAUUGAGAUAUGUUCAGGUAGAUAGAAGAGGUGUGGGUGAUUGAGAUAUGUUCAGAUAGAUAGAAGAGGUGUGGGUGAUUGAGAUAUGUUCAGAUAGAUAGAAGAGAUGUGGGUGAUUGAGAUAUGUUCAGAUAGAUAGAAGAGGUGUGGGUGAUUGAGAUAUGUUCAGGUAGAUAGAAGAGGUGUGGGUGAUUGAGAUGCGUCCACUGCUUGCCUGAUGCUCUAACUGCAUGUCCUGCAUGUGCUUCAGCCAAUCACC